AUUGAACGCUGGCGGCAUGCCUUACACAUGCAAGUCGAACGGUAACGCGGGGCAACCUGGCGACGAGUGGCGAACGGGUGAGUAAUGCAUCGGAACGUGCCCAUCAGUGGGGGAUAGCCCGGCGAAAGCCGGAUUAAUACCGCAUACGACCUGAGGGUGAAAGCGGGGGACCGUAAGGCCUCGCGCUGAUGGAGCGGCCGAUGCCGGAUUAGCUAGUUGGUGGGGUAAAGGCUUACCAAGGCAACGAUCCGUAGCUGGUCUGAGAGGACGACCAGCCCAACUUGGACUGAGCUACGGACCAGACUCCUACGGGAGGCAGCAGUGGGGAAUUUUGGACAAUGGGCGCAAGCCUGAUCCAGCCAUGCCGCGGGCGGGAAGGAGGCCUUCGGGUUGUAAACCGCUUUUGUCAGGGAAGAAACGGUCUGAACUAAUACUUUGGACUAAUGACGGUACCUGAAGAAUAAGCACCGGCUAACUACGUGCCAGCCGCCGCCGUAACAC
rnacentral:rRNA from 1 species